rnacentral:rRNA from 1 species
GACGAACGCUGGCGGCGUGCUUAACACAUGCAAGUCGAACGGUGAAGCGCCUUCCUUUCUGGUGGGUGUGGAGGAGUGGCGAACGGGUGAGUAACACGUGAGUAACCUGCCCCCUCCUUCUGGAUAACCGCAUGAAAGUGUGGCUAAUACGGGAUAUUCUGGGUCUGUCGCAUGAUGGGUCUGGGAAAGAUAUUGUUUCGGUUGGGGAUGGGCUCGCGGCCCAUUAGCUUGUUGGUGGGGUGAUGGCCUACCAAGGCGGCGAUGGGUAGCCGGCCUGAUGGGGUGGUCGGCGGCACCACUGGUGAGGCGCGGCCCAGCCGCCUCCGGCAGGCAGCAGCAGUGAGGCUUACGGCACAGUGGGCGGCCUGCUGGUGCAACGACGCCGGAUUGGGGAUGGGCUCCGGCGGGUUGUGCACUGCUUUCGGCGGUGAACCAGGGUGGACUUGUCUGUGGGUGGCUUGACGGUAGCUGGUUAGGAAGCCCCGGCUAACUACGUG